GUUCCCUUAAAUUUUCUAAUUUGUCUGGGGUAUUCCUGUAAUUUCAUUAAUUUACAGCUCACACUUAUAAUUGCUGACUCUUUCUGCGGUCGCCGAAUGCGUGGACUCCCAAUUCCCAUAACUUGUUACAAGCAUCCACUUCCAAGUUGAGCAUCCAUGGCCCCAAAAUCCAGCAGACCUCACUUGCUAAGUCAACAAAUUCAUAGAAGUUAGCCCUUUUCGAUUCACCUAUACCAUAAAGAGCAUGUUUAUUCCAAUCACUCCAGCAUUUCAUUUUAUUUAUGCUUUCUGUUCUACUUUUUCUUCUUCUGCAAAAAGAUCAGAUCUUUGUGGUUUUGGCUUGAUUAACAAUCUUUUCUUCAGUUUGGUCUUAAGAUCCGUUUCAGAAAGCUGAAAACAAACUGAGAUUUUGGGACCAUGGGAGUAAAAUUAAAAAUGGGACCCAAAUAACCAAAAAGGGGAAGAAGUGAAGUAGAAGAAGAGUAGCGGAAGUUGCCAUUGCCAUAUCCUCGAUCCCCACGGACCCCCUUCUCUCAAAUCACAUAUAGGAAAAAACCUUUUCUGUUUACUAUAUGGGGGGAAUUGGCUGACAACGAUGGAACUGAACUACUACAGUAGCUACAUAGAUAUCCUGUCAUUGUUGCAAAACGAAUAGCUGUUUCUAACUUUAAACAAGAGGCUCGCCUGACAACAAGGUUCAAUUCAUCAAUCUUAAUCGAUCCUUUGUACCCGCAGACAACAAAUUUAAUGAAUUGGACAAAGGAGAACAAACAUAUGCUAAUUGAAUACACUCUCAAAAGUACAUCAGAAUCGCCUUCGACACUAAAUGUUGCACCUUUUGAAGACCAAAUAGUUCUCAUUUCAACCAUUCCUUCACAGUCCACUGCACAAAGUUUUUAUGUUGAAGGAGAAAUAUCAUUACCAAGUGAGUUCCAAUUUUUCUUCGUACUUCUAUGCUCUGAGUGUCAACAUCUAGCACGAAUCAAGCGCAAAAAGAAAGUUCUUUGUAUCAACUGCAAGCUAGAGAGAAUGCUGAUUCCAAGAUGUGAAUUUGAAGUUGAAAUCACAGACGAGAGUGGAACAAUAACAACAAUGGUGUCAGACAAAGUAGCUGAAACAAUGCUUUCAAUGACAGCAGAGAAAGUAUAUGAAACUACCAUUGCCCAGCAAACUUAUUCCCACAGAAACAGUUGUUACCUGUUGAGCAUAUCAGAGAGCACUUGCUAAACAAGCUGUUCAAAAUUCAUUUACAAAAAAGACUACUUCGAACACCAGAUAGACCACCUGGCACCUUUGCUAUCAUAUCUUACACGCAAAAACAGACUGUGUUCGACUCGGCACAGUCUUCAACAUCAACUACUAUUGGUGAGGGAAAUAAAAGAAAGGUACAAUCCAUCACUUCUGCAGAAGCAAAUCGCACUCCAUCGGCACAAGAUGGAAACCCAACCAAGAAACCACUCAUAGACUCAACAAGUCGUCGGCAAAAAUAGUCAAGAUUUGAAAUGCAACAAAGGUCGCUCCAAUGUAUUUUGCUAGCCCACCGCUGUUGUAAUACUUACAUUGAAGGCAGAUUUUGGUGUUGUUGUUUACUACAGUACAUUCUUCCACAUUUUGUGUAAAUAGUAGAUUUUCAUGAACUGUCUACUGCAGUACAAUGUUUCACAUUUUGUAUAAAUAGCUUGGCAAACUGACUCUUACCAAGGCAGAUUUUGGUGA